AUUGAACGCUGGCGGCAGGCUUAACACAUGCAAGUCGAGCGGGGUGAUGGUGCUUGCACUAUCACUUAGCGGCGGACGGGUGAGUAAUGCUUAGGAAUCUGCCUAUUAGUGGGGGACAACAUCUCGAAAGGGAUGCUAAUACCGCAUACGUACUACGGGAGAAAGCAGGGGAUCACUUGUGACCUUGCGCUAAUAGAUGAGCCUAAGUCGGAUUAGCUAGUUGGUGGGGUAAAGGCCUACCAAGGCGACGAUCUGUAGCGGGUCUGAGAGGAUGAGCCGCAACACUGGGACUGAGACACGGCCCAGACUCCUACGGGGGCGGCAGUGGGGAAUAUUGGACAAUGGGGGGAACCCUGAUCCAGCCAUGCCGCGUGUGUGAAGAAGGCCUUAUGGUUGUAAAGCACUUUAAGCGAGGAGGAGGCUCUUUUGGUUAAUACCCAAGAUGAGUGGACGUUACUCGCAGAAUAAGCACCGGCUAACUCUGUGCCAGCCGCCGCCGUAA
rnacentral:rRNA from 1 species